rnacentral:tRNA from 1 species
AAAGCUUUAAGUUAAAAAAACUAUUAACCUUCAAAGUUAAAAUUACAGGCAUUAAUGUAAGCUUUA